rnacentral:rRNA from 1 species
ACCCCACUGCUAUCGGGAUAGGACUAAGACAUGCUAGUUGAGCGCUUCCAGCCAACACGGGAGCGCAGCGCACAGCUCAGUAACACGUGGCUAAUCUGCCCUUGGGACCGGAACACCCCCGGGAAACUGGGGCUAAUUCUCGAUAGGUGAAGAACUCUGGAAUGAGUCUUUGCUUAAAAGACGUUUGCGUUAUGCUCGUAGACGUCGCCCAAGGAUGAGGCCGCGACCGAUCAGGUUGUUGGUGAGGUAAUGGCUCACCAAGCCUUUUACCGGUGCGGGCCGUGAGAGCGGGAGCCCGGAGAUGGGCACUGAGACAAGGGCCCAGGCCCUACGGGGCGCAGCAGUCGCGAAAACUUUGCAAUACACGAAAGUGUGACAGGGCUAUCCCGAGUGCCAUCCGCUGAGGAAGGCUUUUACCCAGUCUAGAACGCUGGGGGAAUAAGGAGAGGGCAAGUCUGGUGUCAGCCGCCGCGGUAAUACCAGCUCUCCGAGUGGUGUGGAUGUUUAUUGGGCCUAAAGCAUCCGUAGCUGGCUAAGUUAGUCCCUUGUUAAAUCCACCGAAUUAAUCGUUGGAUCGCGGGGGAUACUGCUUGGCUAGGGGACGAGAGAGGCAGACGGUAUUUUCGGGGUAGGGGUGAAAUCCUAUAAUCCCGGGAAGACCACCAGUGGCGAAGGCUGUCUGCUAGAACGCGCCCGACGGUGAGGGAUGAAAGCUGGGGGAGCGAACCGGAUUAGAUACCCGGGUAGUCCCAGCUGUAAACGAUGCAGGCUAGGUGUUUGGACGGCCACGUGCCGUUCUAGUGCCGCAGGGAAGCUGUUAAGCCUGCCGCCUGGGGAGUACGGUCGCAAGGCUGAAACUUAAAGGAAU